GCUCCGGUGGCCCAGUGGUUAGAGCGUCCACCUCGUAUGCGGGAGGUUUCGAUCCCCGGCCGAGUCA